UAUUACAGAUGAGGUAGAAAGACAUUUUAUCUAUGUGUACAAUGUUGUAUUUCUUUGUCACGUUUUAUCAAAAGCGAUUUAAAGUAUGUGCAUUUAACCAUUAGGAUACAAACCCAGACCCUAGUACAUCGGUUCUAGCUGAAAUAAGUAGUGCUUCAUAAACAACACAAAACAUUCAUAACAGUACGCUUCUGCUCCUCAUUAAUGCAGCUCCUGAUGUCCCCAGCAGCAACAUGGUGGAGAUCUGCAGCUUCAUGCUGGUCAACUGGAAGACAACUGAUUAAGAUUAAAAGAUUAAGAUUAAAAUCCAUUUAUUCAUCCCAAACACAUGCACAGACAUGCAAAGGCACACUCAUGCAGAUGAAGAACUGCAGCACCUGAUGUCCUCAGCAGCAACAUGGUGGAGAUCUGAUUUGAUACACUUUAGAUAAGAACCCAGUGUUUUAUAUUUCUGCUUUGCCAUAAGAGACAGAACAUGGUCAUCACAGCUGUGUCCUUCAGGCUCGUCUGUCCCUAAUAAAAUGAUAGGAAACAUGAAAGUGAUCGUCAUUAUUGUAGAGGAAGAGUUACAUAUGAACAAAGUGUGUAAUCUUAUUUUCUGUGGAUAUUCAACUGUGUAUUUGAAUAUGCUUUUGGAUUAAAACGUGCACUACCA